rnacentral:rRNA from 1 species
AUUGAACGCUGGCGGCGUGCUUAACACAUGCAAGUCGUGCGGUAACAGGCGUAGCAAUACGUGCUGACGAGCGGCGAACGGGUGCGUAAUACAUGGGAAUCUGCCCUUUAGUGGGGAAUAACCCGGCGAAAGCCGGGCUAAUGCCGCAUAAGAUCUUCGGAUGAAAGCGGGGGAUCGUAAGACCUCGCGCUGAUGGAUGAGCCCAUGUCGGAUUAGCUAGUGGUGAGGUAACGGCUCACCAAGGCGACGAUCCGUAGCUGGUCUGAGAGGACGGCCAGCCACACUGGGACUGAGACACGGCCCAGACUCCUACGGGAGGCAGCAGUGGGGAAUAUUGGACAAUGGGCGAAAGCCUGAUCCAGCGACGCCGCGUGUGUGAAGAAGGCCUGCGGGUUGUAAAGCACUUUCGAUGGGAACGAAAUGUGCCGGGCUAUAUCCCGGCAAGCUGACGUUACUCAAUGAAGAAG